UUCAACUUCUUCACGCUCUCCUUCCUUUCCCCAACGAACUCGCGGCGACGGUGAAGGCACGGUGGAGAAUCUUUCUUCUCCGAUCAGACACGCAACAUCGUCCGGCCACUCUACCUCAUUCUCAGUCUCCGAUUAGGAGUUUCGAUAGGUCCUCUCCUCUCUCCCUCGCGAAGUCGCAGACGUGAAACGGCGGCGGCUAUCUCUCCCUCUCCGGCGAUACUCGCAGCGCCCCCGCGAUGACAACGCCACGAUGGUCUUCUCACACUUUUCUUCCCGAGAUGAUGAUGAUGAUGAUGAUGAUGAGAGAUGCAGCGUAUGCGAUUGAAGCAUGAAUUCAGCGAGAUUGAAGAAGCGAAGGAUGAAGAUUCAAGAGCGAAUCAUUCUGAGUUUGUUACAGAUUGAAUAGGAGUUUCAAGAAUAGAGAGUGGAGGAGAAUUGAAGGUGUCGAGAGAUGAUUGAGAAGUAAUGGUGAAGAUGAUGAAUAUUCUGAGAGGAAGCAGAGCAAUGGUGAAGGAUGAGAUGAGGGGAGGAGAAGAUGGUGUCUAAAAAACUGAAAUGGUGGCUGAUUGCAGGUUAUAUAGAGAGUCAUUUGAAGGCGUGGAUGUCAAACUAAUUCACUGAUAAUUUAUGGCCAGAAUUCCUGUUGCAAACUGGUUCGGUUUCGAGUGUCUUGAAAAGAUCUGAACUGGUUUGCAGGGCUGGCGGUGCAGUUUGGUUUACCGAAAUGGUUUGGAACUGUUUGCAGGUUCAAAUGGUGAUGUUAAGCUGCAUGGUCCUUUUUUUUUGAAGCAAAGUGAGUGAGGUUUUGUAGCAGGGCAGCAUAUUGAAUGGACAUUGAUAGCAUGAAGAAUUUCAAGAGAAGGGCACUAUAGGCUUUGAUUAUUAUUUUAUUUUUUGGCAUACUCUUGUGUAAUCUUGUAAAGAAUUUGAAUGGUGUAAUGGAUGAUGGAUUUUUGUAUUUGAUUUGUGAUAAACUUGAAUGGA